GAUGAACGCUGGCGGCGUGCCUAAUACAUGCAAGUCGAGCGAACAGACGAGGAGCUUGCUCCUCUGACGUUAGCGGCGGACGGGUGAGUAACACGUGGAUAACCUACCUAUAAGACUGGGAUAACUUCGGGAAACCGGAGCUAAUACCGGAUAAUAUAUUGAGCCGCAUGGUUCAAUAGUGAAAGACGGUUUUGCUGUCACUUAUAGAUGGAUCCGCGCCGCAUUAGCUAGUUGGUAAGGUAACGGCUUACCAGGGCGACGAUGCGUAGCCGACCUGAGAGGGUGAUCGGCCACACUGGAACUGAGACACGGUCCAGACUCCUACGGGAGGCAGCAGUAGGGAAUCUUCCGCAAUGGGCGAAAGCCUGACGGAGCAACGCCGCGUGAGUGAUGAAGGUCUUCGGAUCGUAAAACUCUGUUAUUAGGGAAGAACAAAUGUGUAAGUAACUAUGCACGUCUUGACGGUACCUAAUCAGAAAGCCACGGCUAACUACGUG
rnacentral:rRNA from 1 species